GGAAAAUCGCCUUUUCGUACACGUGCACAAAAGAAGUUUUCGCGUGAAAAUUCCCCAGUUUGUUUUGGAUGAUGUUAUGAAGGUGCCUCGUGUCACAGUCAGACAUAGAGACACGUUCGUCCCGGGGAGGUUUGAUUUGUUUGUUUUUCAACUGCAAAUACUGAAAAUAGAGUUAGUGACAGGCGGACUCUACUCUGUGUAUUGAUUUGGCACAAAAGGACACGUACGCGUUUUUGUCUGCUUCCUGUGGGAGAGAUCCAUAUUUUAUUACACAGAAGAAAAUUCAAUUAACUGAAGUUGUUCACGGCAUUCAAUUUGCAUCAGUUUUUGCUGCGACUAUAACCAACUUUUUAUUGCUGUAUAAUACAGAUGACAAAAAUUUCUAUUUCAACAAUCAACAACUAAUUCAUUACUUAUACUCUUCAACUGUAAUUCAGUUUUUUUUUCUACAAAAUUACUUUUGAUAUGAAUUUGUAAAAAAUUUAAGUCCAAUUUCAAACCUGUAGACCUAAAGUAUAUUACUGGAGAAUUCUUUCUUUAAUUUCUAUUUUAUUAAUUUUAUUCAUAAUUAACGAAUAAAUUGAAAACGUUUCUUGUAAAAUUCUCUGAAAUAAAUAUGCAAUACUCACCCCCUUUGCUCUUUUCUUAUUGGUUCUUUCUUCAUGAACUUAAUUUACUUUGAAAUAACUAAGUUAACGUCUACAUUUUAAAAUGAGUAUAAAGACAUAAAACAUUACAGGUAUAGGACUGUAGGAGUCAGUGGUAUAGGUAACAAUUAAGUACAAUUUUUUUUAUUUUUUAUUUGAUGGCAUGUAGAAUGAAUAUCACUAUGCUUCACAUCUUGAUAGCAAAGUCUUCAAAUUGAUUUCUAAACCUACGAAACUGUAAAUAUCCCUAAUUAUAAUUAAAAUAAAACUGUUAAACAAAACUUGCUACACUUGUCAAACACAGGUAUUUCCACGUAAAAGUUAACAGUCAUUCCAUAUUAAAAUUAAUUACUUUUCAGCUGUAACUUCAGCAACUUUCACUUCGGCCGCAACGGCUUCGCCCCCUUCACCUUCUUUGACGACUUUUUCCUCACCGUUCUUUUCGCUAUAUUUAAAUCUGCAACUAAAAAUUUCUCUCUCAAUCUCUCAGUAAUAAAUUAUAUACCUAUCAUAACGUUCCCCGUUUACGUCUUCAUCUUCAUCAGAACUUUUCGUUCCUUCUUUAGCCAAAAUAUCGUCUAAAUCUUUGUCAACAUCGGCCCAAAGUUUAUCGUCUCUGGCUUCUUCAUCGUCGAGGACUUUGCUAGCCGAUUCAUCAUCUUUUUCAGUCUCUUG